GCUGGGCGUGGUGGUGCAUGCCUGUAAUCCCUGCUACUCGGGAGGCUGAGGCAGGAGAAUUACUUGAAUCCAGGAGGCUGGGGUCGCAGUGAGCUGAGAUCACGCCACUGCCCUCUAGCCUGGGUGACAGAGCGAGACUCUGUCUCAA
ensembl:misc_RNA Metazoa_SRP Metazoan signal recognition particle RNA